rnacentral:lncRNA from 1 species
CUCCAACCACCUAUUGGCUAAAAUCAAAUCUACCCUUCUACAAAGAAGUAAUUGCAACACCAAUAGUUAAUCCCAACUUGUUACAACCACUCACCCCAAAACCUCACUUACAAAGGUUCAAUCUCUCAUAAAUAACACCUAAUAAUAGAGUACGAAAAUACGAAGAAAAAUAACAAAAUAACUUAGCAAAUUGACAUAGCACUCUCUUAAUAAAAAUCUUCCAUAUGCAUUGCCUGCCUAUUUAUAGGCUUAAUAUGGUAGCCUAUUCGAUUAACAUAGUCCAACAUAAACUCUUUUUCU